ensembl:snoRNA SNORA71 Small nucleolar RNA SNORA71
CCCUGUAUCGAAAGUGAUCAUGGCGUCCUUGUAGCCAGGUCAUUGAUACUACAGGAAGAUGAAGCUGAGAGCCUUUCCCGUGUCUGAAGGACUCCUUAUUUCUCUCAGACCCUGGCGCUCCCAGACA